rnacentral:misc_RNA from 1 species
GAUGAAGAACGCAGCGAAAUGCGAUAAGUAGUGUGAAUUGCAGAAUUCAGUGAAUCAUCGAAUCUUUGAACGCACAUUGCGCCCCUUGGUAUUCCAUGGGGCAUGCCUGUUCGAGCGUCAUUUGUACCCUCAAGCUUUGCUUGGUGUUGGGUGUUUGUCCCGCGCUCUUUUGCGCAAGACUCGCCUUAAAUCAAUUGGCAGCCGGCAUGUUAGCCUGGAGCGCAGCACAUUUUGCGCCCCUUGCUUGCUUGUGUUGGCCCCCAUCAAGUCCAUCUAUUUGCUCUUGACCUCGGAUCAGGUAGGGAUACCCGCUGAACUUAAGCAUAUCAAUAAGCGGAGGA